rnacentral:rRNA from 1 species
UACCUGCAGCUCGAGUGGUAACCGCUAUUAUUGGGCCUAAAGCGUCCGUAGCCGGUUUGGUAAAUAUCUGGGUAAAUCGUGAGGCUUAACUUCACGAAUUUCGGAUAGACUGCCAGACUUGGGAUCGGGGGAGGUCAGAGGUACUCCAGGGGUAGCGGUGAAAUGUUGUAAUCCUUGGAGGACCACCGGUAGCGAAGGCGUCUGACUAGAACGAGUCCGACGGUGAGGGACGAAGCCCUGGGGCGCAAACCGGAUUAGAUACCCGGGUAGUCCAGGGUGUAAACAAUGUGGGCUUUGUAUUGGAGGUUCCACGUGGGCGUCCAGUGCAGAAGAGAAGUUGUUAAGCCCACCGCCUGGGAAGUACGGUCGCAAGGCUGAAACUUAAGGGAAUUGGCGGGGGAGCACAGCAACGGGAGGAGCGUGCGGUUU